rfam:Human immunodeficiency virus 2 proviral DNA, nearly complete genome, isolate:01JP-IMCJ/KR020.1.
UUUGGCCCCUGGGGAAAGAAGCCUCGCAACUUCCCUGUAGCCCAA